GGAGAUGAUAGUUACUGAAGUUCUUCAAGGUGUCCUAGGCUUCGGGGCUGGAACUGCUGUGCGUGCCACGUGGCUGUUCGUGGCUCCUGGGAAAGAACUGAAGGGAAUAUGUUCAGGCUCUGAUGACCAUGGAGGGUCAGAGUCCCUCUAAGGAGAGCACAGAGCCUGCCAUUCAGACUAUCUUCUAGACCAGCCUGCUUCACACUUGGGAAAUGAGGAUAUAAAAAAAAAAUGCUGAAAAAGGCCCCUAGCCCCACAAACACUCUCUCUUACACACACACACAUGAAUUUUGUGACGUGGACAGCAGCGGGCUACCACCCAAAUAACAGAAGUGCAGGAGAAGAAUGAUUCUCAUAGGACCUGGUAUGAUCUCCGUGAGGUGCAGCCCAGCUUUGAAUAAGUCACCCUAGUGCCAUAUGCCAGAACGCUGUUUGGAUAACUACAGGAGUCCAUGACAUCCAUGAGGGGAAGGGUGUUCCCCUAGAUGUGCUGUGAACAUUAAGACCAUCAGACAUGGCCACCUUAAUACAAGGCCCCACGUGGCGGCAGCUGCAGGGACACAGAUUCUCCAGUUCUCUCCGGGCCUGUGGAAUCAGGACUGAUUCCUUUUGUCUGAGUAAACCUUUAGUAGUUCUUGGACAACUUGGGGAGAGUUGAAGAGGCCUCCAACUCCUGGAAUCAGGUUGUGUAUAGCGGUUAUUGGAAAGCGGUUGGGAAGAAGCUGGGAAGUUUUGCUCCUCCUUAGAAUCAGCAGACCCCAUGCAUCCAGCCUACUGGAGCACCCAAAACCAAGCUAGGUGAUGACAAGGGCCCACACGUCUAAUGUUGGUGUCCCAGCUGGGACUGGAAUUCAGAGACUGGCCUAAACUCACCACUACACCAGUCCCUGUCCUGAGACUUGAUCCUGAGACAGACACACGAUGAAUAGUUGAAUUAAAGGAGCAUGGGAACUGUGCAUGCUGGUUCUUCAUUACUGCCUCUAAGCCUGAUUUUUAAGCCUAUACUAGAUGAAAAGAUCUGGUAGCAGCUCUUCAUAAAAUUAUAUGAGUGUUUACAUAGUCAAAAUGGUCCUUUUGUAAGCUGCACAAAUAAAGACUAUUACUCCCCCACCCCGAAUCUUGGCUUUGAAGAAAGAACACAUGCUUAGCUGUCCUUUGUCCUAUAAUACAAAAGAAAAGCCCCUUUCUGUGGAAUAUUUGAAUCAUGCACUGGCAGUUUCUCAAGGUAAACAGAGUAAAUUAAAAAUUAAUGUUUCUCAUAUGUAUACACACGCAUGUAAGAGAAUGCGUGCCUCACCAGGCAGUAAAAGCAGGGGAGCCAUCCGUCAUUACAAAAAGCCACUAAAAAAGUGGAAAUGGGAGGACAACAUCAAAAAAUUAUGAAAACAAUCUCCUGGAUAAAGAUAAAUGUUCUUUCAGUGA